CGGUACAAUUUCACUCGCAGGGCAGUGAAGGAUGGUGAUAUGUGCUUGGAGAAGAUAGAGUCUCGUCCGAACUAUAAUAGAAGGAAUCAAUUGCAAGUUGGAGAUUGGAGAGGAUCGACAUUCAGCAAUGAAAGGAACACGAAACCACCCUAUCUCUUUUGGAGUAUAUGGAACAAGCAAAAUAGAAGAUUGUUUCAUGAUGUUGAAAUUGCUGUACAAAGAAUUAAAAGAACUUACUUUUUACUUGUA